UGGAUGAUGUGGAUAUUCGAUGCAACGCGAAAACCUUACCACCUUUGACAUGGCAGGAAUCCCGAAGAGAUUUGGGAGUGACUCGAAAGAGAACCUGCACACAGGUGCUGCAUGGCUGCCGUCAGCUCGUGUCGUGAGAUGUUGGGUUAAGUCCCGCAACGAGCGCAACCCUUGUCAUUAGUUGCUACAUUCAGUUGGGCACUCUAAUGAGACUGCCGGUGACAAGCCGGAGGAAGUGGGGAUGACGUCAAGUCCUCAUGGCCCUUAUAGGUGGGGCUACACACGUCAUACAAUGGCUGGUACAAAGGGUUGCCAACCCGCGAGGGGGAGCCAAUCCCAUAAAGCCAGUCGUAGUCCGGAUCGUAGUCUGCAACUCGACUACGUGAAGUCGGAAUCGCUAGUAAUCGUGGAUCAGAAUGUCACGGUGAAUACGUUCCCGGGUCUU
rnacentral:rRNA from 1 species